UACGAAGGUCCCAAGCGUUGUUCGGAAUUACUGGGCGUAAAGCGUGUGUAGGCGGUUGGGUAAGUCAGAUGUGAAAUCCCGGGGCUCAACCUCGGAACUGCAUCCGAUACUGCCUGACUAGAGGACUGGAGGGGAGUCUGGAAUUCUCGGUGUAGCAGUGAAAUGCGUAGAUAUCGAGAGGAACACUAGUGGCGAAGGCGAGACUCUGGACAGAUCCUGACGCUGAGACACGAAGGCCAGGGUAGCGAAC
rnacentral:rRNA from 1 species